rnacentral:sRNA from 1 species
UUGCGCCUGCAGUGGAUGCAGCGGCGCCCGAUGAUUAUGUCUUGCAGGCGACUGGCGGCCGUAUCAUCUCGUGAUUCGCAAUUUUGCGAAUUCAAAAUUCUCC